rnacentral:lncRNA from 1 species
UAUUUGGCCAAAAAGAGGAGGAUGAGGAGGAGAAGAAACAAUGUAAUUUUUUGCUAAAUAGUAUAAUUUUCAUUUAAAGAGUGUAAUUUUCAUUCAAAGAGUGCAACUUUCAUCUCAAAAUAUAUAUUUUUCUCUCAAAGAGUGUAAAUUUUUUUAAAAAUAGUGCAACGUUUCUCUGAAAUAGUGCAAUAUUUUUCUGAAAUAGUACAAAUUCAUCAUCUUCUUCUUUUCUCUCUAAUUCUUUAUUUUUUUUGUAGAAAAAAUUAUUUUUCUUUACGUUUUAUUCUUUAUUCUUUUUAUUUUUAAUUUUUGUAUAUUUUUUUCUCGGCUUCGCUCUCACUUGCACUCACUCCGAAUCCUCCUUCUUUGGCAUCGGUAUUAGUGCCGGCACUGGUGUUGGUGCCGGCACCGGCGUCGGUGCCUGCACCGAUGAACGCGAAGGAAGAGGAUGCGGCACUGUUCUCGUUAUCGUCGUGGAGGGUCGCGGAGACGGUAGAAGGGGUUGAAGAGAAAAAAAAAAAUAAAGAGAACAAGAGAAAAAAAAUGAGAGGAAGAGAACGUGACGCUGUCCUUUUUACUGUUGUAAAGAGCCGGAGAGGCGGUGGAGGAAGGUCAGAGAGAAAAUAAAAUAAAAAAAGGUCGAGGCGCGGCCUCGGUAGGGUCAGAAGCAAGAAAGGCGGAGCAAGGGUGUGUGGGCGAGGGCGAGGGCGAGGAAGCACGGAUAGAGGCGGAAGCAGAGGAUAGAGGCAAUG